UGAGCUGGUGGGUUGAACAGAAGUUCAUCCUGUCCUGGUCUAUAGAUAAGACGCACAAAAGCAAAUUGAAUCCCUUGUUGUUGAACUAGUUAUCAAUUUUAGGGAUAAUAUGUUCAACAAGAGUGGAGAUAGUCAGUUACAGUAUCUGUUGUUUGUAUCUUCAGCGUAAAGCAUGUACAAGUACAUUUUAUGAUUUUCAGCAAUAAAAGCUAUUUAUCAGUUCUUUUCUCACGAUGAGUUUGAAAUUCAACUUCAAGAAUAAUUUAAGGUUAUCUUUUCUUCUACUGACAAUUUUGUAAACUUAAACUUGGGGGGAAUAUGCUUCUAGUAUUGUCAUUUCGUGCUUGCUUCUAGUAUUACUUUCUGCAGUUUAUUUUUCCGUCUCUGGCAUCAAACGUACAAGAGAAAUCCCAGUUGUCUCUUUCAACGUUAUUUACUCUUUCGAAUGCUGAGUUUUACUGACACAAUUGGACUGCUUUGUUAGCCUCCUGCAUAUAACCUGUGAUGGAAUAAAACAAAUUGCCAUUUAGUCUCCUUAAGAGCAACAGCGGUUCUGGUUGUAGCAUUUCUGUCGUAUGUAGUCAGCUCAAAGGUCAAUUUUUCUGAACUCUUGCUUUUUAAUGUCAGGUUCUUGAUAUAAUUAUUCUCGAGCAUGGAAUUUUUGCUGUGUGGCUGGCGUUGAUUCAUGUUAAUUGGUGAUUUUGAUCCUUUUGCUCUCAUACGUACCCUAUGCUCUGCUUAUUGACUUAACAGCUUCACUUUAUUGGCAAUUAGUAAUGCAUAACAUAUUUUGCUUCAGGUAUCUUGAUCUCAAUCUCUGUUUCUAUAUUGAUUGCUUUCUCAUGCAGACAGAACCACUAGAGUUUGCGUUGACAAUUUUGUUGGUCUAAUGAGAAAAUUACGAGGAGAUUCUUUAUUGAAGCACAACUGUAGGAUGCCAUGUGAUGAAGUUAAGCCGCAUGGCAGUUUCGAGUCAACACAAUUUACAUUUUCGUUUAGCAAUCUAGUUAAAUCUGUGUUACCCAACAGGAUUCCGAGAUUGAGAACAGCAUCUAUUCAGUAUCCUAAGAAGAGCGUCGGCUUUUCUUCGAGCUUUUAAAGAUCCAUCUGCAGCCAAGCUUUGGAGCGAUGGAAUGCUUCGUGGAUUCAUUAACAGCUUUCUCGCAACAUCCUCACCACCAUCCUUGCAUAGCCCGACCAGCAGAGUUAUCGAAUUCUCCUUUCCCUUGGAAGAUCCAAAUCUCAGGAGAUCGAUAAGAAGAGGAACCAAGAUCCUACUCUUCCUUAACUCUUCUAAUCCUUCACUGCAUCCAAGCAGGAGGGCAAGCACGCCUAAUGCAUCAUCGGUGAUCCCAGCCUUGUCAUCUAACAACAGGUCAAUGAGCAGUGGAACUGCUCCAGCGAGAACGACACUGACCUUAUUAACAUUGUAAACUGCAAGGUUAAAAAGUGCUAUUGCUGCAUCUCUUUUCCCAGCUGUAGUCCCUUCUCCUAGGAGCCGAACUAAGCCCGGAAUGGCUCUAGGACGGGCUCCAAUGAAUAUCUUGUAAUCGUCUACUAUGGACAAACUGAAGAUUGCUGCUGCUGCAUUUUCUCUUGCCUCCAUUGUUUUUCCUGAUUGUAAAACGUCAAUUAUGUUGUCAAUUGCACCAGCAGACAUAAUCAACGUCUUGUUGUUAUCAUAUAUGGAAAGGUUGAGCAGAGCAGUCACUGCAUUUUCCUGGAUUCUUGGAUCAUGAGAAUUCAUCAGAGUUACAAGGAAUGGAAUAGGUCCUGCUUCUGCUAUGAUCCUGCGAUUGUCCGUGCCAGUUUUUGCAAGUAGCCGAAUCUCGUAUGCUGCCUGUCUCUGGAUAUCUGGUGAUCCUGUCGCCAGCUUCCCCACUAAAAACUCAGCCGUCAUUUUGACUGCAUCUGCUGCAGCUUUAGUGGCAGAAAUAUGAUCUACUGCAUUUGCACAUAAUUUUCUUUUACUACUACUCCUUCCCAAAUCUGAAGAGGAUAAUGCAGAUUCCACCAUUGGAAUAUUAUUCUCCUGGCACCAUUGAUGAAUCAGACUUUUCAACACGUAAUUGGGUAUGAGGGCCAUGUGUAUCAAGCGUUGCCCGCUUUUUGGGCAUGUAUGAUGACCUGAAUUAAUCCACUGUGCGAUUGAACUUCGAUCAUAAGUAUGGCCAGAUGCGACUAUGACCGGGUCCCUUAUCAAGUCAAGUGAUAUUGGGCAGCGGUAUUCAUCAGGGAUGUUGAGAAUCAGUGAUUGGGAAGACGAGGGCUGAUCGUAACGGCUAGUAAGAUGAGCAGUGGGUAGCUUUUGAUCCUCCUUGAUCUUCUGAUUUUUUUCUUCGCUGAAGAUCACAGUUUUUGAUAAGGAGACCAGGGAUAUCAGAUUCUUGAUGUUUGAGACCACGAUGAGUCCACCAGUGCCUGCCUGCUUCUCAGCUUCUGCCUCUAGCUUUGAAAUCUCCUCUUCAUAAUCUAAGGGGCUUCUCAGCCCAAUGGUGCCUAAUAUCUCUUUGACUUUACCAUAAUCAGAGGAACCUUUAUUCUUGACGUUCUUAUGAGCUUUAUUGGACAUAAGUUGAAGAAGCUCAUCUCUUCUCUGAAUCUCUCGGCGGUCAAGGAACAAUUCAACCCUUUUUGCCUGUUUGUGGAGAAGCUCGACUUGCUCCCUGGUGUCCAUUGUAAGAUUAAGCAAGCUGAGGGGAAGGAUGUCCAGUGCUCUUCCCAUCUCCUUGACUACUGCAUAGAAUUGAUUCGAAACAAACUCCGUUUGAACUAGAUUCCAUAGAGAACUUCCUUCCUUGCAACUCUCUAUCAAGAAUUUCACUCUUCGUAUAACAGAGAAAAGCUCUGUAAGGCAUAAGACUGAGGAUGGAGGAAGGGUGCCACUUGUUUCUUGAAUCUCUUCAAACAAGGAAGAAAGAAGUCUGAUCCUGCUUAUCAUCGUUGAUAUGUUUUUAACCUGUACAGAAGGAAAUUUUUCGAUCGAAGUAACCUCGUUAGAGAUGUGGAUCAGUGAUUCGAGCAAACCCCCAGCGGGAAAAAACCCUGAGGAGACCAUGAGAGGAGGUAGCGACCCAUCCAUUGCUUUGCAAUGUUCUGAGAGUCCUGUUCAUUCUUAUUUUGCGCGAUCAACAAAUUGUCAGGCUAUAGAAAAACUGGACGGAACAUUCCCCGUUUUGGAAAACAAUUAUAAUAAUGCUAUGGGAUUUUGGCCAUUUCUGUUUGUACUCAUUAUGUAGCUAACAAUAAAAGGUGGCUGGUGGGAGAAGAAAGCAGUCUCUCAAUUUGCUGCCACUUGGAGGGGGAGGGAAAACUGGCCUGCCGUAUUAGUCAUAUUCCUAUCUAAUCUUUUAUUGGGGGUUCAAACAUGCAGGUCUAUUCAAAACAGCUUUGUCAACGCCUUCGUUUGGUAGUUGGUAGCCAUAGAGUCUUUCCAAUACAUUGUCAAGUUACCAUAUAUUAUUUAAUUAGGGGAAUGUCUAAUUCCAGCUGCUUAGGUGUAAAAGUCCUUGGACAGUAAUGCUUGUACUCUACUGCGUAACCUCAACAUAUGAUAAGAGGUCAUUCAUCAGAUAUGAGAUCAUGAUAAUCAUAAGCUUAUGAUGAUCUUGACGUAACAGUUAAGAGACAAUAGGGUUGCACUCCGACGGGGGAUGAAAAGUUGAUUCUCUUAGUUGCUCAUUCUUUCGCAAUUACUACUUACUAGUAGUGGGAUGGCACCUGAAAAUCAGAACAUGUGUAUGGCUUCAUGAACUCAGGAGGGUUUUUGCAUGGUGAUAUUGCGCAUCUCCUAGCUAGCAGAUUGUCUUAGAUGAGCUGAUAAGAAACUUGACGCUUUCAGCUGCUAAGUGCUCAUGUCACUAGGGUCUGCUAAAAACUUCACAGAAUCGGCCAGAAGCAGAUUAGGGACACAUCAGAAUGCCCGUUUUGCAGUGUACAGCAAAAUUAACCGCAUUGCCGAAUGGAUCCGCAAUAUUAUAUAUUUAGGAAACGUAUCCCAGUCACGAAGUUGUUGUACAUUUGUAUCUUCUGCAGUCUCAAGUAAAAAGCUUAAAGAAAGGAAAACUCAUUUGACUUUGAAUGCAGCCGAAUAGCAGCAGCUCUGGCAGAAGAUGAGACAGAAAUGCAUGCGGAGGUUAAAAGUCUUAGUAGAAGAAUAAAUAGGUACGUACUGUAGUUAGUACGAGUCUCAAAGUAUAUAUGAACUGGAUGUGAUGAUUUAUUAAGCUAUUGCACGCGUGGAAGAAGUAAGCAGGUCGUCUUAAAUUCCUUGAUUUUUUGAUCACUAGCUGCUUUUUCAGUAGUUGAUCGAGUCUGCUACUUCAAAUUUAUUGUGGAAGUGGGGAGGCUAGUUGAAUGAUUUUUGUUGUUUUUUUCAGACCUGAAAACGAAUAAGAAACGUCAUUUAAUUUAAGACAGGCCAAUCUGGACAAGCUAGCUAUAGAUCUUGUAUAAUGGAUUUCUUGGUUGCUUUAGAGUUCACCAAAAAGAGCACUCAGGCUUUCUUCUUCGUUGAUCGAAAACCCAAAAGCCACUGGUCAACUCUUGAGGGUGAAAAUUCUGGAGCCGCAACAGAAGAAAACGGCUUUUAUUAUUCUUCCUUUUGCUCGAUACAAAUUCUGGGCAAAAAAAAAAAAAAAAAAACCUAAUCAAACAAAAUAGAGUAAUUUUUUAUGUACCGUAAGUAUAUACACAAAUUGGUGUAAAUACAUUUUACAUAAUCUAAUUUCAAAUUUGAUAUUCACUUUUUGGUCUACAUCUGUUAGUAUAAAAAAAAAAUAUCCACUACACUAAAAUCUAAUAAUAGAUAAAAAUUUAAUUCAGUAAAAUAAUGCAUACACGAAUGUAGCUUACUGUAGCCUCCUGUUUGGAAGGUAAGUUUUUUGAGAAUUUGUCUAAAACUUUACUGUAACUUACUGUAGAAGUUUUUUAAAAAAAUUUUGAAAUGUGUAGAUUUUUGAAUAUUUUGAAGUAUAUAGUUUAAAAAUUUUGAGAAAUUUUUUGAAGUUACUGUAACUAAAAUUUUUAAAAAACUUGGGUUCCAAACAAGGCCGUAUAUCUUUUAAUUAAGGAAAGAACGAACUCAUCAAAUGCAAUUUUUCACUAUUUAGGAAGAAAUUCAGAGAGCACCCCAUUUUUUGAGAAUUGAUUUAAAAAAUCCCACAUUUUGAGAAUUCACCAUAAAAAAACGCACAUUAUAGAGUUUUUUUUUUUUUCAUCACAGUGGGUAUUUGGGUCCGUGGACUGGGUAUUUGGGUCCGUAGACUGGUUACUGUACAACCCAACUAAUUCCACUGUGGGUUGGGAGAGGCCUGAUCCAAGCAUCACCAGCCACGGUAGAACGGGGAUUCGAUCCCUGGACCCAACUGAGACUACAACCACGGAACCGAACCCCGAGGGAGACACUAAAGAAAGACUCUUUGGGUGUGCCUGCCUGGCACUCCAAUAUUUUGAUAUAUUUUUUGUGUUAGACAUAUUAUGUAUUACGAAUAUUUUGUCUGUAUUAAUUGUUAAAAAUAUCAUUACAAUUUUAAAAUACCCUUAUCCAAACGAUUUAAAAGCGCACACUUAUUGUUCUCGUCCAUCAUCAAUCUUCCUUGCCAUUUCUACUUUUGCCGCCGCUGUCCCCACUCCCCAGGCCAGACCUACCACCGUUGGCCGCCGCCGCCGCCGGAUGGAAUUGUCCAAUCCUUCUCGCGAUUCGCGAACCUGCAUAAAGCUACGUCAGUCUUUGCCUAAUCUAAAACUUGAGAGUAAUUAACAAAAGAUCUGAAACGACAGGGCCACCUGGAAGUCCAAAGUUUUGGGCCUAACAGCGUAGUAGAUGGUUCUUUGAUGAAUUAUGAGGUACGGAAUCUCAAAAACCUGUUAUGGCCCAAAACUUCCCCAGGUCAAAUAGCCCACAGGGAAAAUUAUUUCUACCAUUUCUGUUGGCCUUGCUUAGCCAUCAGACCAGCUCCUUGUUGGUUAAAGCAAUGAUCAUUGCAAGGUUUUAACAUUUUUUUUUUCUUUUUUCAGGCCAAAAUAUGUAUUGGAAGGAAAGAUUCUAAAAGCACUUGGCUUUUUAGUGGAGUGUUUUUGUCCCUAUUCUCUAAGGCAGCUGGUGAAAAUUGGACACUUGCAAAAGGGCCCUUAUAUUUCAAAGCUGAAAUGCAAAUGGUCGAGGGAACAAUAAAACACUUUGGACCGACGAAAAUGAAAUCCAAGAUGGGUCAGUCCCUUCCCUUCGUACAAUUGUGGGUCGGCCUGCAGACGUGUGCCUUUCCACAACUUUACCCACGUUUAAGAUUCAAAAAGCAACAAUAAUAACAAAUGAUGAUGACUUCCUAAAAAAAUAAAUAAUAAAUAAAACAUUUUACUGUUUAAUACUACAAGCUUAGGCGGUUUUAUCAUUUAUGAGAGGCUUAAUUGUCCGGUCCCUGGACGCUAAAAGAGUUUUGAUGAAUUUGAAUCUGAUUAUCAUUACAAGUCAAAAGUAUAUCCCUAAUCAUAAGUUGUGUCACAGGACUGUUCUUACAAAUCACUCAUUAAAAGAGUCCUCACAUCGGCCAAGAAAAUGAUUUUCUUUGCUCAUUUUCCUUAAUAGAAGAGACGGUGAACUAAUGGAUUUCACCAUUAGUAUCUGCACUAAAAAUAAAUUUUACUUCUUGCUCGCUCGCAGUAAUGAGCGAUUUGUAAGGAAAAAAUUUAUUUUUUAUCGUGUUCUGCACUACAAUUUUGUCGAGAUUUCUGAUUGUCUUAAACCCAAUACAAGACUAAGUAUUAUAGAGUGAUGAAAAGUCUCUUUAAUUUUUUUUAAUGUAGGGCAAGAUCUUUUCAACACAUUCCAUUGAUUACAACAUUUCCUGCUAAUGACCGUUAAAAGGGGCAAAUCAUACAAACUCUGGAAAAAAAUAUGAUUUUGCAAAUAAAUAAAUAAAUAAACGCCAUGGGAUGGGAGUAGAUACCAAUCAGUCGUCAAAAUUAAAAAAAAAAAAAGGGUGUCGCUAUCAAAUUCGGGGACGAACACUAGUAUAAAAUAAUUCUUGCUCAACUUUCAAACAAGCAACUAGUAGUAAUAAUCAAGUGCAUGGUGGAUGUGGCGUGUGGUUGCCGGCCUCCCUUGCUCUGGUCGUGGCUUGGGAAACGACAAAUGAUUAUUUAAACACUUUCUUCCCAAGUGGGGAGACUUGGGGACGACCAUUAUUAUCAUCAUCUUCUUCUUCUUCCCCUCUUUUUUUUUUUUUUUUUGUGUGUGCUUUCCACCUUUUGAAGUGACAACAAAUUCUUUUCUUUUCCACCAUAGCCACAAUUUUUUUCCCGUGUUGCACUUUCUUCCAACUUGUAUCUGGAUCCUCCUUAAUUUGUCGGUUAGGCGGUUCUGAAGUGUAGUACUAACUUACUGCACAAAUCUCCAAUUAAAUUCCUUUGAAGAAAGUUGUACCAUGCAAAAAGAAAAGACUGAGAACAAAAAUUAAGAAUACCAAUCGAGCCUUUUUCUAAUUUGUUCCAACUAUAUCAAUCAAGCCUUUUCAGUUUUUUUUUUUUUUUUUGGGUUGAGAAUUGUGAACUAAAGAUAAUUGUAUAUACGAAUCUAUUAUCAUAAAAAACAAUAUGUCAUUUUAGAAGUUAUAGACAUAUUAAACUUCUCCCAUUACUUUAUAUUGUUCAGAAUUUUAAAUGUUGGUGAAAGUAUCUACAAAUCAAGAUAGAAAUACCUAAAAUAUAAAGAUGAAAAACAAAAUACUUACAUGAGCGGUGUAGGAGUAGUUCAUAGAAACAAACAAGGCACAACACUCGACGACACCGCAAGUCCUUUCAAUCAGCUUUCUUUUUAAUGGGAUUCCCAUUUCACGUAACUUAGCGGAACUGAGGUGACGAUUGUCUUCUAUCUCCCAAGAGGGCCCCUAAAUCUUUAUAUCCUACCCACAUUUCAACUUCUUUAUGGUGGAUUUUACCUUCAAAAGCAAAGGUUAUAUAUUACCACCAAUCUCCCAGAUACUCCAGUUUUUUGUUGCUUGGGAUUCCAUUUCAGUCUGGAGAUAGUCUCAUCAUAUGACAUUAUGGAUCAUCAUUUUAGUACCUAAACUUGCUCAGCUGCCUUUGUGGAUUUUGAGGUUGCUCAUCAAUUUCUAGUGAUCACUGACCAGUAGUGUAUUUUCUCCGUGGCGCAGGCAGUCAAGGAGUUUCUACACCUAACAAGGGAAAAAGUAAAUCAUAUUUAAGGAGUGGAACUUUCUUGCCUAACAGGAAAAUUCUAACAGGAUGGAUGUCAGUGCAAUUUUGAUGGUGAAGAUUUGCGAGAUUUUAGUUUCAUCCGUUCAAAAGAUCCUACAUCAUCUAUGCGGGAAUUGAUGUGAACCCUACCAAUCUAACAAGUCUUUUCUUGAGGUAAAAAAAAGGAGAAAACGGUGUCCUCGCUGAACACAAACACGAAAAAAAAGGGGUGACAUGUGCAGUGAGUUAUACUAAACUUUUUGAUAUUUUUAUUUCAUCAACUUAACUAUUUUUUGUGUCAAAUGGUCUACCAAAGUCCUAAAAGUAUUUCAUGGGCUACUUGAUACGAAAAAAAAAGAGAUACCAAAAAAAAUUAAUGAAUGCAAUGAGAAUCUUAAACAGUGUAAUAAUAUAUACUGCACAUUUUACUCCCAAAAAAACAAAAAUCGGACCGAAAGUCCGAAAUUUUAGUGGCAAUCUUUGCCUUUCAAAGAUCGACUUGUAUUUGUGUUGAACUUCUAUCCUACAUAAUUGAACAGUCCAACGAAAUGAUUCCGGUUGAAUUGGUUGAACCGGAAAUUAGUACUACCGUACAUAUAUCACAGCUUAAGAAUUUCGAGGCCAGGUAAAAUUGUGGCGUCUAGUGUUGCAAAUAGGACUGUCAAUAGGCUGGACCAACCCGAGUUCGGCUCGUUCGAUCAGACAAAAAGCCUUAUAAACCCGACCUUUUAGUGAGUUCGUCUGAAUUUGAGUCUCAAAAUUAAGUCCGAAUUAAAUAUGAGCCGAGUUUGGGCCUUAUCAAGUUCAAACUCGAUAUACGCGUGACCCUUUAAUUAUCUAUAUAUAUAUAUAUAUAUAUAAUAUUGAAAAAUUUGUCAAAUUGAUCCCUAACAUUUUCAUAAAAAACUUUUUUAGUCCUUAACAUAUAAAUUAUGAGCCAAUUUGGUCCUAAUGCUCGUAUUUGCUCAUUUCUCCGACUAAAAAUAGUACAUCUUUCUCACGUGGAUAUAAUUUUAAGGGCAAAAUCGGAAGACAUUCGUUAAUCCAUGGUUUUAGAUUCUAAAAGAAAGAGAAUAUUCUCUUCAAAACUCAACUUCUCAAUGGCUACUCUUUCAUAACUCCACACACUCCUCCUAGAAUCAAUCUUGAGUCAUUUUCCCUGCACCUACUCCAUCAGAUGCAUUCCACCAUCACCACUAAUCCAAAGCCUGAUAAUCUCAAGAGAACCAAAAAACUUGAAGUUUGAAGAAGGUGAAAUUUUGCAUUUUGCAAUCCUUCACGAAAUCCCAAAUUGUUGAAUCCUUCAGAAGCUGCGAUUGUUCAUCCUAGCAUUCUCCAUACCGUUCUUUCCAUCGUUGAUGACAUCCCAUCCAACCGCAAGAUUUUUAUCAAAAGUCUAUGGUUUGUUACUUUCAAGAAUGUUGAGUCUUUCUUGCUUGCCCUAGAAAGCCCCAAAAAUAAAAUUGAUGGGUUUGUCAGCAAUGGGUUUAUCAGCAAUAAAAUUGGUAGAGAAUGUGCCAAACAACUGAGAUGAGUUCUGAGACUUUGUUGAAUUAUUUUGAGAGAUAUAGUGAAAUUGAAAAAGGGCUUGGGGGUUUGAUAUGGGGACAGGGAAAUCAAGGAAAGUGCAAAAGCUGCUUUGACUGAGAAGGUGAAAUUUGUUGAUGGUUUCCGACUAGUUUGCAAAAUGGUGUCGAGGGAAGGGAGAAAAGUAAUAGGAAUCCAAAGGGGGUUUUGACUGUAAAAUCAUGGAUUAAUGAAUGUUUUUCGAUUUUGCUCUUGAAAUUAUGCCCAUGUAAGAGAGGUGUGCUGUUUUUAGUCGGAAAAAUAAGCAAAUAAGAGCAUUAGGGCCAAACUGGCUCAUAAUUUAUAUGUUAGGGAUUAUUCUGGCUGAUUUUAAAUGUUAGGGACUAAAAAAAUUUUUUGUGAAAAUAUUAGGGGAUCAAUUUGACAAAUUUUCCUAUAAUAUUUAUAUUUUGAUAUUAUAUAUAAUUAUAUAUCCAAAUAUAUUAUUAUUAAAUACUAAAUAUACAUAAAUUACAAAAUAUAAAAAUACAUCUAAAGACUCUUCCAUGAGCUUUUUGAGAGUCAAUAUUAGUAAUGCAUAACUAAAUCUCUAACUUUUCUUAUUAGUUGAAUAAAUUUUUGUGUUGGCAUAAUAUUGGUUGAUUUCUUUUUGGUUUACAAACACAAAUCAUCAAGCAUGUUUUGUUUCAAAUCACAAUAUUAUAAAAAAAGUUUCAACUUUUAAAGAUGUAUUGACUUAUGAUCGCAUGUUUUAUUACUAUUUUUCAUGUAUUUUGAACGAAUUAAAUAAAAAUAUUGUUAAAAAAUUGUUGGUUUAUAUACUUUUUAAGAACUAUUGUUUGUUCAUGUUUAGUUUUAAUAUUAUAGUCUUGUAAAUGUUAAAUUAAUUUUACAACUUCAUAGUUAUAGUAAUUAUAUUAAGAAAAUUAAGGAGUAAUAAGUAAGCUUGGGCUAAACUCGAUUAAGACUCACAACCCGAAUAUUAUGUGAGUUGAGUAUGAACUUCACAUUUAUAAAUCCGAAACUCAUAGCCCGAAACCCUAAAAUGUUCCAAAUUAUAUAAGCUGAGCUUGAACUCACGGAAGCCCGACUCAUUAGGCCUGAUUAACAGGCCUAACUGCAAAACGACUUUUCGGACGAAACGUGUAGAGGACUAUCGGUCAAGCGUCAAAAACCGACCAAAAAAACAAAAGAAACAAAAAAGAAAUUCAUGCUUGUGUAUAUUUCAUUAAAUUGCUUUUAAAAAUAAAAAAAAAAUCACUCAUUCAGGAAGUAGUACUGGUACAGUUUAUACGUGUAUCUAAAUAUCUUACUGGUAUCAAAAGUAUACUAUUGCAUCACAAGUACAACUUGGUCUCUUGUGACAAUUAUAACUUACGAGAGUUAGGAGACAUUAUUGCCGGUGGGAAACGAGUAAAUAAAGCAAAGCAAUUCUAGCCACCCCAUCUAAUAUUAGUACGAUCAACAUCAAAUUCUAAUACAAGUGCUAUUUCUGGUUGAAAGUAAAUCUACCUAUAUGCAUAAAUAUUUAUUAAUUAGCAAAGCAGAUGUUUACAAUGUAUAAUAUAUACGUACUAUAUAUAAUCAGAAGAAGGAGCCGCAGCAAAUGUUGAAGGUCCAAAGGCUGUUUUUUUUUUUUUUUUUUAAAAAAAAAAGAGAUGUUUUGAAAUUAAUAACGAAUUAAAUUAAUGAGAAGGCAAGAAGAACCUUUGUCGUCUACUUUUAAUACGAUAGUUUGAUCCAGUACUAGUGGUGCAUGAGGCAGCAAUCCUACUCAACACUAGUUUUAGUGACUGCUUAAGUGUGUUGCCGCAAAUCCCUCCUUCCACACUACUACUAAUGGGGCAAAGGAUGAAACUACUUUUGAUUCUGCCCCCCAAGCUGAUGACAUUUGCUUCAACUGUGGUCAGCCGGAGGCUUUUCAGAGCCCGAUUCAGCUCCGAAAAGAAUUCUGGCCGAUCAUCGCAGCAAACACAAGCCUUGAGCAAGAUUUUCCGAUCCUUGGCUAUGGAGCUGCAGUAUUCAUCAUCCACAUAAUCGACUGUGACUUCGUCAACAUCAGUUGGGAUCAUCAUGCAAUUGCUGAUCUCCGUCGUCUUGCUCUUCAUUUCCUUCACAUGCUCAACCACACUGCCCAGUAGAGCUGCCUUGUCCAUCUAUGUCAAGAUAAUUUUAUUUAAAAAAAAAAAACAAAAAAUUAAACACUUCGACAAAGCCUAACUAAAACAAAGUAGUUUUAAUCUGUUUAUAUAUUCAGGAUCAUCCACACACUCUUGUUUGAUCCUUCCAUUGAAAAUUGAACAUUCCCUCUCUCACUUGUGCUGAAAAGGGCAUAAUUUACAUCUAACGCUUCUCGUUGUUGUAUCUUUUGCUUCCAAGGCAUCAAACCUAUCGAAGGAGAGAAUUAGCUUUGGAAAUAUUAUCCAGUGUUUUGGCUGCCUUGGUUUUCAAGUUACCUCAACCUUCUGACUUGUGUGUAUGACAGAUUAUGCACCGGAAAAAAUUAGACAUUGUUUGUUGCGACAACUGUUAGUAUAUCCGUGUACUGGUAGUAUCUGAAUUGAUGGAAAUACUAUUUUCUUGAGGCGAAAAUUACGUGCGGGAUCUUCCCGGCCAUGAUCUUGCAAGUUAAUUUGGAGAACUUAAUUAGCAACUUAAUAGAAGAUGACUAAAAGAAGAGCAUCUUGAGCUAGUCGAUUAAUUAAGCUUCAGAUCACAGGGAGAGAAUCAGGUUUUUUAUUUUUUCUGGAAGGUGGUGGUGGCCGGCCCGGGGGGGGGGGGGUUGGGGUUGUGCUAAUUACCUUUUCAGACUUGGGAAUCAGUUUCCUCAGAGUAGCAAGCUGCGCGUUUAUCCGGUCCCUACGCCUCUUCUCCGCUUCACUAUGGCUUCUAGAGGCACUUGCAGCCCUUCCCUCGGCGAACCCUUCAGCGGGAAUCGACCAGGGAUGCAGGGAGAAAGGAUAGCCAUCGAAGUUGAAAGAUGAAGCUUCAUCUGGAGUACUAUUAUUAUUGAGCUGUGGAGCUAGAAAGGGCAAGUCCAUGCUGUUUUGUUCAACAGCAGCUUGGUGACAGACUUUCCAGGCUGCAUCUUCUUGUAAAUCAGCCGAAGAAAAACAAUUUGCCAUGUCCUGUGUAUGUGGUGAUAGAAAAAGGUCUAGCAAACAGGAUAAUCUCUUUGCUUUUUAUCCCAAAUCUAGAGCUGCUAUUUAUUUUUCAAUACUAGAAAUGAAGAGAAAUGUGUGAUCUUCGAGAAUUGAUUGUGACUGGCGUGACAUAUAGUGGCCUUUAAUCUGUCACAUGAAAAUCAUUUUUGGACCUAUCUUCGGGAGUCACCUAAGCAUCAGAACUUUUGUGCAUUAGGAAACAAACAGUUUCAGCCGUAAAGGAUCUUAAAUGCUCCACAAAAUAAUAUGCUCUGUCAGGGCAUUAGUAUUAGGCAUUAGGUGAGGCCAAGGCUCUCGGCAAAUCCUCUCUCGUCUUUGCGCGUGUGAUGGAUUUGUCCGGUAAGGUCCAAAUUUGCGACAGCGGAAGUCAAUGAAUUGCUAUAUAGCGUUUUGGUCAUGGAGUUAAAAUCUUCUCAAGCGGGCCCUUGAAUCUUGUAGUAGCUCCAUUUAUAUCUCGUUGGAUUUCUUUUUUGCUUUUCAAAUGAUGAUUUCACUAAUGGAUGGACAUCCAUUAAGCGGAGUUUCAAUUAUCAAUGUUUUGACAAAAAUAUUUUUAAUUUGUGAAAGAUCCAGAUGCUGAGAUGCAAUAAAUAUGAAUGCAUGUAUUCAUAUGAUAUAUUUAGUAAAAUGUUAAGUGUAUUAAUUAGGACAACACCUGUUAAAAAAAACCCCUUAUGGCCCGUUUGGUUCAUGGACCCGGAUGAGAUAGAUUGACUCAUUCUUGGAUUAUUAAUUCUGAGUUGAGUCAUUUUCACAUAAAUAAUCAAAAUUAUCUAGUGUUUGGUUGGUUCUGAGUUGGAUAGGAUAUGUUGGGAAAUAAUCCUGUCCUGUAUUUGGUUGAAAAUUGGAUGAAAUAGUAUUAAUAUUUUAAUGACCAAAGCACCCCUUAAUUUGUAGAUUCUUAUUAAUAAAAUAGUUUAAUAUUUUUAAUAAAAAGUUUAAUAUUUAUAACCUUUAUUCAAAUAGAGUAGUUUGAAACUUUAGAAUUAUAAAGCAAAUCAACGAUUUUAAUAUAUAAAAUUUGCUUUCACUGAAACUCAACCCAUUGGAGCCAUUAGAUUUUGACCAAGUUUUUGAACCUAAAUUUGAAAUCCAAUUAAAUAAUGGGCUGAAUUUUGGCUAAAUUAGGGUUAAAUCGAUUAAAACCUAACCCGGUUAAGAACUUUAAAUGAGCCAAAAUCAAGCUAAUAUAGAAGUUUUUUUAAGGCCAAGUUUGAAUUUAUUAAAAUCCUCUUAUAUAUAGAUAUAGAAUUUGGUUUAGAAAAUAAUUAAGCUAAGUAAAGGUAAUUUGGUUCAAGGAAAAUAUAGUCUUUCUAUUACGAUGUUAGUAUGGCAAAUUAGUCAAAAAAAUGUAAAUUAAUUAAUAGGCAUAAAUUAGUCAACUUUUUAAAAAUAAUGAAUAGGAGCAAAUUAGUAAAAAAUUUUUAACAUUAUUAGUAGGGGCUAAUUAGUCCCUUUAUUAUCAUAUUAUUAUGUGAGAGUAUGGUUAUCUAAAUCAUUCAUAAGUGCAAAUUAGUCCAAAUAUUGUUAUACAGGUAGUAAGGGCAAAUUAGUCAAACAAAUUUAAAAUUAAUUAGUAACGCAAAUUAGUCCAUUUAUAUUAUAUGAUCGAGCAAAAGCAGGGUUAUAUAAUUAUAAGAAUAUAAAUUUAUAUUUUUUGUAAGGAUAAAUUAAUUUAAAAUUUUAUCAUCCUAUGCAUCCUGCGAUAACUAAUAUCACCUCUCCCAUGGGAUUAUUUUAUCCCAUAAACAAAGGAUUAAUUCAGUUAGGUAGGAUGCAUGAUUCCAUAUGUAAAAUGCUAUUAGGAUGAUACAGGACGAUUAAUCCGAUCCUGUAUCAUCCCACGAAGGAACGGACACUUGACGAUUGCCAUCAAACCAAGUAAUAUCUCUAUUGUACGCAUACCGGAUCAAGCCAUUGUCUUUUACAUUGUUUUCUCUCUCUUUCGGUGGCUUUGCAUAAGAGCAGGGAAAAGAAAUAUGAUCUGAUGAUUGAUUGAUCUGAGAGGUCGAUGAUUUUGCUCCGAAAGAUUUUGGUCAACUAUGGGAAAGUAAGGGACCAAAUUAGAGACUGUAAUGCUCGAUCUCAGCCCGAUUUGCGCAAAUUGCAACUUGGAUCAGUAGUAUUAAUUGGCCGCAUGUGCAGCAUUGCUUUCUUUCUCCUUGCUCCUGGGCCAUAUUCGUAUUAAUUUGCAAUUUGGAUUUUGGAGAAUGUACUCUUUUUUUUUUUUUUUUCCUUCCUUUUCCAGUAACGGUAAUAUUAGUAUUACUUAAUCUACUCCAUUUUACAAAAAGGAGAAUUAAAUAGGCUGUGUAAGAACAUGAUUCUUUGAAUUUUUAUCACUGCAGGUGGAUUUAAAUCUGGAACCUAUAACCCCAAAUGAAGAUUUAGUCCCCUUUUUGCGACAAGUGAUCCAAAGCUCAGUAGUUGAGUUUGGAGAAUGUACACAUACCCUAUUCUUCACACAAACCUCUAUGUGAACGUCAUUAUCAUGUCAAGGCAACCAUUUUGCGACACCUGUAAUGGCGUGUUAAUUUCAACGCGUGCAAUUUGAUGGACAUAAAGCCACGACUUGCCUCUCAGAUGUGCGUGGGGGAUGCCCAAAAAUUCUUCUUCAACAGGAGGAGCAUCCAGCCAAUGCUACUGUUUAAACAUCAACACUAGUGCAAUAUAUAUAGUUGACUAUCACUAAAGAUCCAUUGAACAUUUUCCUUUUGGGGAUCUUAAUGAGUUCUAAUCGAGCGCAAAUUGAUGUGCCUGGCUAGAUGUGAUCAAGCGCAGGCUUCACCUCCAAUGGAGGCAGAUCAUUGCGCUUGUCAUGAUUUGCCUAAUUACAUAUAUAGCAGAGCUCGUUAGUAUUCUUACAUGCCAAAAUUUCAAGCGUCUUUGAGGGGCUCGCAGCAUAUUUGCAGCUCACGAUUUAUGGCCUUUUCCAUAGCAAUUUAUACUUCAAUUACAGUAGUGUAGUCUAUCUCAAAAAGAUUCCACCUCUACGAUAUUAAGCGAAAACCACCUAAUCCCGUGGUACUGUACUAGGAGAGAAAAGGGCUCGAAGCAAAUGCAAUGAAGAAGAAAAAAAAAAAACGCGGAUUCGAGCCCGGCGGUGGGAAAAAUAAAAAAGGAUGAAAUUAAUUUUAGUCAAAAGUGUCUAAAUGCAGAAUGUGCAUUAACUACGAGCAGGUGUGUGUAUUUACGUGUUAAACUGGGAGUGAAAGUUAACAUAAAUGAGAAAACGAAAGGUUGAAAGAAGUUGUGUAAUUUGGUCGUCCGGUGCCAUCAUGGAUGUGUGUGUGUGUGUCAAACGUGAAGCAAUAUAAGUGGUGGGAAUGAAAUGCGAUUUCUCAUUGAAGGAUUGUAAUUCAAUAUGACCUUGUAAAAAGAAGAAAUAAGGCAUCUCAUCCUCUUGUUUUUUUUUUGUUUUUUUUUUUUUAUCGCCCUUCCCUCCCACCCAAUAUGUGUACUGCAUCCGUUCAAAUGCAAAAUGAAUUGCAGAUUUUGAUCUGUGUUUAGGCCUUUAUAGGUUUCCUUCUCAUGGAUGAGUCCAAAUAUGAACCGUCUCGAGGGUUUCUUCUUUUGUGAAACUGAGGCCCUUUUUCUCCAAUUGAAUUGAAACCUACUUUUGUUGACGAAUCAUCAUUUCCCUAUAACCUCAUGAGGCCACAUUGUGUAGUCUACUUUGUCUGUUGAACUAUCACGUCUAUUAUCUAGUGAUGCAUAUGUCCUGCACUUGAAGAUGCACCCCAUGUCUAAUUAUUUCCAACAUGCUAAUUUCCCAAUCCCUAGAGUUUGUUGAUAUGAGGAGGGAGCAAAACGGUCAAUUCCUUUCGGUUGCCAAGUCCUUUUCAAAGGUCUAUGUAGAAAUGGGAGAUCAAUGAUGGUUUCGUCUCCUCCUAAUUUUGAAGGAUGUAGAAGAUCAAUUGAGCACAAAAAGGUAUCCAUCCAUUAAUUUUGAAGGAUGUAGAAGAUCAAUUGAGCACAAAAAGGUAUCCAUCCAUAAAUGGCCCAUGCAGGUCUCGAACCUGCGACCUUCGCGUUAUUAGCACGACGCUCUAACCAACUGAGCUAAUAGGCCAAGUUGUCGCUAGGUUGUCUAGGCAAAAUUCUGAAUUCACACCAGUCCCAGACUCUUUGAGCCCUAUAAAUAACGCAGGCAGUGGCAGUACUAACAUAUCUUUUAGAGUGAACGAACAAAGGAAGAAAGAAAGAAAGAAAGAAGAGCCAUGAAGAACCAAGAACCUCGUUCAAGCUCUUCUUGUGCCGCUUGCAAGUUCUUGAAAAGGCGGUGCAUCCCCAACUGUCAAUUUGCACCGUACUUUAGGUCGGACGAGCCCAAUAAGUUCGCCAAAGUUCACAAGGUAUUCGGAGCCAGCAAUGUGAGCAAGAUUCUGAAUGAGGUCCCUGAGGAGCAAAGAGAGGACACCGUGAAUUCGCUCGUGUACGAGGCCGAGGUACGGCUGAGGGACCCCGUUUACGGUUGCAUUGGUGCAAUAGCUUCUCUGCAGAAGAAGAUGGUAGAGCUUCAACAUGAUCUGCUUCUUGCUAAAGCUCGUCUUGCCUACUGUGCCACCACUAAGCCAGCGCCCACUUCAGCCAUAUUCUUGGAGGGUCCUUCCAAUAUCGCUUCCAACAUUGAUUUUCCGGCUUCUGCUGGCUUGGAGUUGGAGGAGGCUUUCUAUCACAAUUCCUCGGUCAUGGGUCAAAAUGCCAAUGGAUGGAUGAAUGAAUUAGGCCAGUUCCCGCUUGUGUGAUGUGACACGCUCACAUUCCUAUUUUUGCUUCUGAUUCUGUAGGGGCUGCAAAAACAAACCUGAUGUACUUUGCUCUUUGAUGAUGUACUGCUAUAAUUUCUAAUCUUCCAUUGAAGAGAAUUUAUCCUUGAAAAGGCAAAGUACUAUCUAUACCUUUUAUCUACUCUCUCUCUCUCUCUCUCUCUCUGUGUAUAUAUAUAUGUAUGUAAUGGUGCCUAUUUCUUGUUUUAGAUUUUCAGAACAGAAGGUCUCUACCAUUUUAGAUUUCCUCUUUUACUAUGUGAAUCUUGCGCCUCUUCUGAAAGUAUUACUACUAGCUUGCCACUAUUUGACGUGCUGUGUGAAUAAGAAAAGUUAUAAAUAUGCUAGUCGUUCGCUUAAUUAUGUGACAUGUUGAUACAUUCCAAACAGCGACAUGUUUUCUUUUCAUCUUUUUUCCAGUUCCAACUUCAUGAGGGGAAAUUUAACAACAUUUUAUUAGUAAAAUUUAUAUUCAUCGGCGAGCAUGAAAUUUCUCGAAAUUUCAACUGCUUCUCCUUUAAGCAAAACAUAUACCGUGUGGUUUUUUAGUGUUUCCGCGCAGACUAAAAGAACCUCUGUUCCAUUUCACCUGUUGCCAGGGUACGACGGACCAAUGUAAACCUGUAGUUGCCUUGGGAGACCGGAUUUUACAAAUGCCAAACCACCAACAGAGAUGCCAUCUUCAGGACGAAACCAGAGUCCGCAAACCUGCGCAGCGCCGCAAUGCACUGACCAUCGUCCCAUGGGGUGACUACUGCAAUUCAUCAUUGUUCCAAUUGCAUUUCUAAUGUUUUGCUAAUAUUUUCUUGAAGAAUUCUGCAUAAACAGUACUGAUCGUGUUUGGACUGAUAUUUUGUCCAAAUAAUGACCUGCCUGGGGGGUACUGUAGAGAAUGAGGACACAUCGCCACCAAAUUACAGUUUGAGAGGGUAAACAGUAAAAAAGAAAAACAAAUCAAGGGUGAAAAUUCUCUGGUUAACGACUACCUAACUCACCCCGUGUCUAUUCCUUCCCAUUUUGAUUUAGCUGAAGCAACGUUGUUGUAUGCCCAAAACUUUCUUCAACCGAGCUUCUCACUUCAGGGAAGUUGAAAUUCCCUGCCACAAAACUGAGGACUGCUCUCGCUAGAGAUGCGGACAAUUCUGUCUGCAUUGUGGAAGGAAUCGGCUGUUCCCAUAGCAUUGAAGUGUAGGUUCCACAACCAGAACUUUACGAGUAACUGUUUCAAAAAUAGGAGUUUUUUAUUAGAAUCAUGUAGUAAAAACAAAAGGGUAAAGAAUGUUUCUUUGUGACUCUGUGUUCAGAUUGGUCAAGAAAUCCAAAAAAUUACCGAAUACCAAAAGGAGGACAUUAGAGAUUAAAUUCAACUUACCUUCUCAUUUCUUUUCUCUUGUUGGACUAUUUUAUUUUACAUUUCCCCAGGAGCAAUUUUGUGCGUAUUUUUUUUUUAUUCAUAUGAUAUUUGAUAUGUAUCGCCCCUCCUGGGCAGCUCGUCUGGCAGCGCACGCCUCCUUAGGAGUGCUUGCCAGGGGUUCGAGUCGUGCAGGGUUACCGUGUUCGGGGGGAUGGGGCCUCUCCUCUCGGGCCGCAGGGGAUUAGUCGGGCCACCUUCGGGUCUUGACCCGGACACUCCUGUGUCGAUAAAAAAAAAAAAAAAAAAAAAAGAUAUUUGAUAUGUAUCACUGUGUAUUGGCACGUUUUGUCCCAUUUGAUGAUUUGCAUAUCGUGAAGGCCAGCCGAAUACGAGGGUUGAGGGCUAGAUGGUAGGUACCCUGUAUCUUUUACUCACAGAUAGGCAAUCCUCUAUGUCGGAAAGUACAAACCUAUGUGACCAAAUUUGGGAAAAUGAUUUUGAGUUGUGCCAACCUGGGCGUUAUAUCCCUCAGCUCAUUGUGCAUAACAUCGUUUCUUAAAUGAAAGAAACAGUUCAUUAAACUUUAAUCUAAGCAUUCAGCAACCAAAAUCAGGCUAGCAAUUACACCUUCUACUGCUGCAGAUUUGUUGAAAGUCACAUGAACAUACUAGAAGUAAAUUGAGUAAUGUACAACAACUAGAGCAACAACAAAUAUUGACAACAGCUAAGACUCUGUAAAUUCAAUUGAUGUUCUCCUACAAGCGCUUAAGAACUAAGCACUACUUUGCCAGUCUUUGGGGUGGGCUUGUAACUGCUCUGACUUCCGAGAGUUACAUGUUGAUGGCAUCUCGGCUACAUCUUCUUUCCUGUAAAUUGAGUAGAUCACAAGAAAAAAGCUUUAGCCUCGUACAAAACAGCCUCAAUGUGAUAAGAAGCCAAAAGUUACAUUUACGUAUCAACAUUUCUGCUGUCCAGCAGAGGAGAGGAAUCCUUUUCCUCCCAUUGUACCGUCCAUGACAAGCAGCUCGAAAUGAGCACAAGGUUGUGCCAUAGGAAUACAAAUUACUGUGAGAUCAUGAAGUGGCAAGUGUUCCACAGUAUGCUACAACCACUACUUGUGCUUGGGCACUAUCAUUAAGACGAGCACAUUCACUAUGCACCACAAGCAUUACUUAAGCAGGCGAUUUUGCUAAAACCCAACCAAAUUGUAUAGCUAGUGAAUGUGAACCAUGUUUGAUCAGGAUUAUGCACAAAACUAAUACAGAUUACCAAUUAAGCGUGAGAAGAAAAGGAUGCUCAAUGGGGGUAAUACGUUAUUUAGUGUUAGACCAAUGCAAAGAACACACUAAACCUAGAGUUUUGUCAGUGUUCUCACUCAGCUAAUAACAUAUUACAUACACAUAACCAGUGCAUGACUAGUUUGGGAGAUAUAUUUCACCUUAUUCCAGUAGGUAAACUUCAUAAAAAGCAUGGCAUAAUAUUCCCGCACAAGAGGCCACACUCAGUACCUCGUAGCUUGUGCUUGCAUGAUACAUACUACAAGAUCAGAAAUCAGAACUACUCGUAUAUUGGAUAUGUGAAGUAUUGUAAUACCCAUUGAUGGAGAUGUCAUCAAAGGUUCCGAAGAACCCUAGUUAAGCAAUUCUCAAAAUAUUUCUAAUAAUGCAUGUAUUGACAACAUUUUCUUGAAUCAACAAAUCAUUCAUGAUGCUUAACUUCAGGGAGAAAACAAAACCAUCAUUACAGAAGAAGGAAAAUUGAUGCUGCUAGAACUUCAUUAUAAGAUUCCAAUGAAUUACAUUCAACAGCAUAUGUAGACACAUUAAAUUGGGGCUGUAUUGUCAUAUUUCAAAGGACCAGAAUCUUGAAAAGGAUUACGCACCUUAACAGAAUCUACAAUAUGGUUAAGGAACUAAUGUGAGCAACUCAUUUCAAAAUGAUAUUUGCAUAGACUGCAGGCAGUUCAAUGAACUAGAACUGACAAAAAGCAACCACUGACCUUCAAAUAAUCAGAUCAUAGUUUGAUCAACUAGUUGUGGACUUAAAUCAUCAGUAAAUCCCUAGCAAGGGGAAGAAGAUCAGGACACCCAGUUAAUGUAAGCCCAAUGGUGACAAGGCCAUCAGCAAUAAAUUUUUGGUUUUUGUUGGUUACAAACUAGCAAACAAAAUCAAAGAAGACAUCAAAACAACUACGCAAACUGUAGAAAAGCAUCAUAGAGUGUAUACAUUGGAGACCGUCCCAAACAUAAUUCAAAACUUUAUGAGCCACUAUAAGAACCAACGGUAUGUAGCACAAAAGGAAGGACACUUUUAAGGCAUCUUCGCUGAUACCUCUAGCAUACCUUACAAUAAAUCAUUUUCCUCUUUGUAAGAUGCAAGUGAACUUAGAUGACCAAAUGCAGGAAAAUCAUGACCGCAGAACAACCGCCUAGUAUUAAUAUAAAAAAUGUAAACGAUAAAUCUGUUAGAAAUAUUUACCGUUGUUAAUUAAUCAUAUUUGUUUAUACUACCUAAUAAGUGGAGUUAGUGGAAUAACUAAUGGGAUUAGUGGAGUACCUAGUGGAAUUGCUAGUGGAGUGAGUGGAGUUAUUGGGAUAGUUAGUGGAGUUAGUGGGAUAGUUAGUGGAGUUGGUUUAAACUCUAUAAAUAGAGUAAUUUUAUGUUAUAAGUUGUGUGAGUUUUACAAAGAAAUAAACAUUUUGUCAUUUGCUUCUCUUAUUAUUUGCCUCAAUACUUGUAUCAGUGGUAUCAGAGCCGAUGGUUCGGUUGGACGGUGACUCCAAGGUAAAAAGCCAGUGGGAGUGGUAAGGCGUGGCUUGGAUAAGAACGGGGGGAAAAAAAAUUAUGCAGACCUACAGUGAGGCAAGGGCACGUGAGCUCUUGAACAAGAAUCGUACACUCCAGAUUGAAGUGGGCUUGAUGCAGUGGAUGGGCUAGGAAGAGAGGUCCAAUGUGGAAGAGAUUCACAAUUGAGGAAGAGAUUGUUGGGAUAUCAAGUGUGAAUCAAUGUCCCACAUCGGAAAGAGAUGAGUAGAAUGAGGAACAUAUAAGUGGGAAUGAUCCAUAGAUCCAAAGCCUUAAGGUUUUGGGUUGGAUGUGGUAUCAAACCCAUGGUUGUGGUUCCCAUUCUAGCUCAUGGUUAAAUUCUCCCCGAGUUUGGCUCUCUCAAAAUCCAACAAAGUGGUACCAAAGCUAGGCUUGUGAGUGAAAACAAAAAUGAGUUGUGAGAAUUGUGUUAGUAAAUUACGAUGGCCACUGACAAUUUUGUGUAGCCAGCAAUUCCUCGCUUUGAUGGUCACUAUGAUCAUUGGAGUAUGCUAAUGGAGAACUUCUUGAGAUCCAGUGAGUAUUGGUAGGUUGUCGAAUCUGGAGUAGCAGAGCCAAAAGCCAGAGAAAUAUUGUCAGAGGUGCAAAAAAUGGAGUUGGAAGCAUUGAAACUGAAAAAUCUUAAAGCUAAAAAUUAUCUUUUUCAAGCUAUUGAUCGAGCCAUUUUGGAGACAAUUCUUAGCAAAGAUACCUCCAAACAAAUUUGGGACUCCAUAAAGAAAAAGUAUCAAGGAAAUGUAAAGGCGAAGCGGAUGCAGCUUCAAACUCUUCGGACCGAAUUUGAGACUUUACGCAUGAAGUCAAGCGAAUCAGUCACUGAUUAUUUCGCAAGAACGAUGGCAAUCGCUAACAAGACGAGGAUCCAUGGAGAAAAUUUGAAGGACGCCAUCAUUGUCGAGAAGAUUCUUCGAUCAAUGACAACAAAAUUUAAUUUUGUUGUAUGCUGUAUAGAGGAAUCGAAAGAUAUUGAUGCAAUUUCAAUUGAUGAGUUGCAGAGUUCUUUGUUGGUUCAUGAGCAAAAUAUUAACCAGCAAGAGAAAAAGGAGCAAGCACUGGUGGCUUCAACAGAAAGUCACUCAACAUGGAGAGGAGACAGAGGUAGAGGCAGAGGCAGAGAAAAUAAUAAUCGUGACAACCAACAACAACAAUACCAGCACCAAGAAAAUCAAUUUCAAGGAAGAAGAAGAGGACAAGGAGGCUAUCCAUUAACAAAUCAAAGGCCAAAGUCAGUAGACAAGUCCAAUGUUGAAUGCUACAAAUGUCAUAGAUAUGGCCAUUAUCAGUCUGAAUGUUGAACUAAUUUGAAUAGACAAAAUGGAGAAAGGACUAAUUUUGCAGAAAAAGAAGAAGAAGUGUCUCUUUUGAUGGUGUGUCACAUGAGUGAAGAAACUCAACAAAACACGUGGUAUUUAAACACCGGUUGCAGCAAUCACAUGUGUGGAGAUAAAAAAGCAUUCUCUGAAUUGGACGAGUCAUUCCGUAACACUGUCAAGUUUGGUGACAACUCUACAAUUUCUAUUAUGGGAAAAGGAAGGGUAAUUAUCCAAGCUAAAGAAAAUUCUUCUACCCACAACAUUACUGAUGUUCUUUUUGUUCCAGACUUAAAGACAAAUUUGCUUAGCGUUGGUCAGUUGCUCGAAAAAGGAUAUGAAAUUUCAAUCAAAAAUGGUGUAUGUCAGAUUCGAGAUGCAAAGUUGGGCUUAAUUGCUCAAGUUAAGAUGACGACAAAUCGUAUGUUCCCACUCUAUUUGCAGAACUUGCCUCAUUCAUGUUUCUCGACAAAAUCGAAAGAUGUGGCAUGAUUAUGGCAUUUUCGUUAUGGACAUUUGAAUUUUGGUGGACUGAAAACUUUGCAACAGAAAAAUAUGAUAGCUGGUUUACCUCAAAUCACAACUCCUUCAGAAGUUUGUGAAGAGUGUGUUGUUGGCAAACAACAUCAAGAUAGCUUUCCAAGAGGAAAAUCGUGGAGAGCAAAAAAUAUCUUGGAGCUGGUUCACUCUGAUCUAUGCAGACCCAUAAAUCCGUCAUCUAAUGAUGAAAAACGUUAUUUUAUGACGUUUACUAAUGAUUAUAGUCGAAAAACUUGACUCUAUUUUUUGCAGAAAAAAUCUGAAGCAUUUUCAGUGUUCAAAAAUUUCAUGACUUUUGUCGAAAAGGAAGCAGGCAAAUCCAUAAAAUUUUUUUGCAGUGAUCGUGAUGGAGAGUAUAAUUCAUAAGAAUUUUUAAAUUUUUGUAAGGGGUAUGGAAUUCAGAAGCACCUUACAGCAGCUUAUACGCCACAGCAAAAUGGUGUUGCAGAGAGGAAGAAUCGUACAAUAUUGAAUAGGGUGAGGAGCAUUUUGACAAAAAGUUGUGUUCCAAAAAAUUUUUGGCCUGAAGCUGUCAACUGGAGCAUUCAUAUAUUGAACAGAAGUCCCACCUGUGCUGUUAAAAAUAUGACGUCUGAGAAAGCAUGGAGCGGACGAAAACCAACAGUGGAUCACUUCAAAAUUUUUGGAUGCAUUGCCUAUGCUCAUGUUCCAGAGCAAAAGAGGACAAAGCUAGAUAACAAGGGGGAGAAAUGCAUUUUUCUUAGUGUUAGUGAUCAAUCUAAAGCCUAUAAGUUGUAUAAUCCUAUCACCAAGAAAAUUGUCUUCAGUCGAGAUGUAAUUUUUUAUGAGAAAAAUUUUUUGCCAUGGAGCAGCAAUAUUAUUAAACAACAAAUACCUGCUGAUUUUGAUGGAGUUGAUGAAAAAAAUAGGCAGCAGUUGACAGAACAAAUUCCACCAAAUGGUUUAGAUAAUGAUCAAAUUCCUGAAUAGUAGCAGAAGAUAAAGGACGGCCUCAACGUAUUAGAAAAAGACCUGCAUGGAUGAUUGAUUAUGAGGUAACUGGAAUUGAUCAAUCUGAAGACCCACUUACAUAUUUUGCACUGUUUUCCGAUUGUGAUCCUACAGUUUUUGAAGAAGCUAUCAAAGAUUUGAAGUGGCAGAAGGCAAUGGAUGAAGAAAUUGCAACUAUUGAACGAAAUAACACUUGAGAGUUAACCAAUCUUCCAGAAGGACAAAAAUCUAUAGGUGUCAAGUGGGUGUACAAGACGAAAUUUAAGGAGAAUGGAGAAGUUGACAAGUACAAGGCACGUCUGGUAGCUAAAGGCUAUAAGCAAGAGGUUGGAGCGGAUUAUGGAGAAGUCUUUGCUCCAGUCGCAAGGCAUGACACGAUUAGGAUGAUGAUAGCCUUGGCAGCACAAAAUUCAUGGCCUAUCUUCCAAUUGGAUGUGAAAUCAGCAUUUUUACAUGGUGAUUUACAGAAACAGGUAUUUAUUGAUCAACCUCCUGGUUAUGUGAAGGUUGGAAGUGAACAUAAGGUAUACAAACUCAAGAAAGCAUUAUACGGGUUAAAACAAGCCCACGUGCUUAGUAUAGUCGUAUAGAUGCUUAUUUUUCUAUGGAGGGAUUUAAGAAAUGUCCAUAUGAGCAUUCACUUUUCAUAAAGAUUGGAGAUGGAUGUAAAUUGCUGAUUGUUUGCUUAUAUGUUGAUGAUCUUAUUUUUACUGUGAAUGACAGUGCCAUGUUUGAGAAAUUCAAGAAAUCUAUGAUGACUGAAUUUGAUAUGUCUGAUCUUGAAAAGAUGCAUUAUUUUUUGGGUAUUGAAGUGGUGUAAUCUGCUGAUGGAAUUUUUGUCUCUCAAAGAAAAUAUGUGCAAGAAAUUCUGAACAGAUUUCAAAUGUCGAAUUGUAAUUAUGUUAGUACGCCAGUUGAAGUGGAUUUAAAACUCAUCAAAGAACCAGGAGGAAAGAGGGUUGAUAGCACCCUUUACAAGCAAAUUAUGGAAAGUUUGAUGUAUUUGACAGCAACUAGACCUGAUAUUAUGCAUGUUGUAAGUCUUAUUAGUAGAUACAUGAAAAAUCCAAGGGAGACACAUCUUCUAGCUGCCAAGAGGAUUCUUCAAUACUUGCGGAGAACCAUUGAGUAUGGAUUAUUUUACAAGAAUGGUGAAAAAAUCAGAUUUGUUUGAUUUUACUGAUAGUGACUAUGCAGGCGAUUCUGAUGAUAGAAAGAGCACGUCUGGAUAUGUGUUCAUGAUGGGUUCAGCAGCUAUUUCAUGGUGUUCAAAAAAGCAACCAAUUGUUAUGUUAUCAACAACUGAAGCAGAGUAUGUAGCUGCAACCGCCUGUGCCUGUCAAGCAAUUUGGUUAAGGAAUAUUCUUGAAGAGUUGCAUUUUCAGCAAGAAGGAGUUACUACAAUUUAUUGUGACAACAGUUCUGCCAUCAAACUCUCUAAAAAUCCAGUUCUACAUGGAAGAACCAAACACAUAGAUGUGAGGUUUCAUUUUCUAAGGGAGCUCACAAAGGAUGGAAUAAUUGAUUUUCUUUACUACAAAAGUGAAGAUCAGAUUGCUGAUAUAAUGACCAAGCCAUUGAAGUUAUCCAUGUUUCAGAUAUUAAGAAAGCUGCUUGGAGUCUGUGCAGUUAAUAAAUCAUAUUAAACUGAAUGUUUGAUAAACUUUCAGUUUAAGAGAGGGAUUGUUAGAAAUAUUUACCGUUGUUAAUUAAUCAUAUUUGUUUAUGCUACCUAAUUAGUGGAGUUAGUGGAAUAACUAGUGGGAUUAGUGGAGUACCUAGUGGAGUUAGUGGAGUGAGUGGAGUUAUUGGGAUAGUUAGUGAAGUUGGUUUAAACUCUAUAAAUAGAGUAAUUUCAUGUUAUAAGUUGUGUGAGUUUUACAAAGAAAUAAACAUUUUGUCCUUUGUUUCUCUUAUUAUUUGCCUCAAUAUUUGUAUCACAAUCGAGCCAGUCCAGCCAACAAAAGGGAAAACUUCCAAUCAUGCCAAUGUAGAAAUGAACAACCGCCUCUUUCCUCUUUCAACCUUCAAAAAGAAGUCCGAUAAAAAACUCCAGAAACUCUGUUAGUGAUUAUCUACAACUCAAUCCUAGCCCCAUCAACAGAUUCAACAUAACCAAAGAAAACUAUACACAAUAAGAUCCUAAUAGUAAAUGAUGAUGAAUGUUGGGAACCAACGUGACAUCACAUUCUCCAUAUUCCAACCGAAGGCAAUGCAAAUCCAUUCAGCAUCCUCAUAACAAUAACGAAUAAAAAAUUCCCCAAAAUGCGAGAAGAUAAUAUGCUGAAAUGAUAAAUCCCUGACACUCAAUCAUUUGUGCAACUAGUUAAAUUUACCUGAUCAGGAAGCACUUCCGGAAGGCCGCUUCAAGUUCUCAAGCUAAAGCUGAGCCUCCAGAAACAUGUUCAUUUUCUCAAACUCCAAAUCCUUCAAUAAACUCAGGCCUCUGCUUCCCCAACCCCCAUCAACUGCUGCUGCUUGGCGCUCUCAAUCCUCUCGUAAAUCUCCCCACACUUCAGUAUCGGCCCCGCCAGCUAACGGAUGCUGCUCCGUUCUUUGCUUCAUUCCAUUUCCACCGCUGUACUUCUAGCGUCUUCUAUCAACGAAACGUCGAAAACACUUGCCUUUUAACUUCUAGCACUACUGCGACAUGGACGAAAGGAAAACUGGUUUCCUGUCAGUUGCAGGCUUCCGGCUUCGUGAUCUGUAGGACUCCUGAGAGCAUUGGCCUGGGGGGCGUUUGAAUCAGCAUGGGCUUGUUUGGCAUAGGCCCCAUUUUCCCAAACACUAGGCUAACAGUCCAUAAAUGGGUAUGAAGCCCAUUUGACUCGGGUUUUUAUGGACCCAACACAAGCUAACUCGGACGAAUGUUAAACACGGGGGCCUGAAACUUCCAACGGUUUGUAUAAUCGGGAUUCAAGGGUACUUGUUAAAAUAUAAUUUAAGUGUUAUAUUUUUUAAAUAUAAAAUUAAUUAAAGAAAAUAAAUAAAUACAAGGGAAGAUAGGCAAGAUUAAAUAGGAAAAGUAUAUAAAUGUAAGAGAGAAUAAUAAUUGUUAUUAUGUGUAAUAAUUACAAGAGAGGGUAGGCAAGAUUAAAUAGGAAAAUAUUAAAUGUGAGAAAGAAUAAUAAUUAUUAGUAUAUGUGCACAUAUUAUAAGUUAGAUGAAUACUAGGAAUGUUAACGAGUUCCCUAAGAGCAUCUAUUAAAAAAAAACCAACUUUGAAUUAUAUAGUAGUCAACCAACGACCCUUUGAACUGCUGUUAGCCACCACAAAAGACUUUAAGUCUUGGUGGGGUGGAAAGUCAAGGUCCCAUUAAUGUGUCACUAUAUGUUACUUUUUCUAAAUUCAUACGGUUGCGUAAUGGACUCUUCUUAUCUAAUAGUAGUUUAGCCUCCGUCAAUUUUUUUUAGGCUCCAUUGGGCCUUCCCCUCCAGUGUAGGCUUUUUUUUGGAUAAUUUUUGGUAUCUCCCCUGGAAUUUCUCAUAAUGAUUUUUUUUUUGUUGGGAUAAUUUUAGAUACCUACUCUGAAAUUUCUAAUAAUUUCGCCGACUUUUCUUGAUAUUUGAAAAAUUACACUAACCCGUGGAAUUGGGAGCCUGAUUGCUUACAUCAAUAUCACACGAGGAUAUCAAGGGACUGAAAAGAACGCAAGGACAUUAUGAAAGCAGAACCUCCUAAAUGAGACCGUUUACCCGGCGACCGACGUCAAGUGGUGCUCGCUGUACCCUCCAUGACAUUAAGAACCGCAGAAUUUGGUGUUGGCCGUUUGCAAAAUUUUCAAAGAAAGAGUCAGCGGUGCCCAGGAGAAGAUUAAAAGUUACAGCCUGGGCAAUUACUUUGUGAUGUAGUUUUAUGCCGUCCAGCAAUAAUGCCCAAGAGAAGUACUGCUUCAGAGUCUCUCAGACUUUUUGGAUUCAUGCGAAGGUGCGCUCUCCAUCGCCGUCUCUAUCCCGAAACUUUUCAAUCCAAAGUUUCAGAAAUCGCUGCUGGAUUCUUAUGCCGCCUUGAUUUAAUAAUGCCUUCCUUCCUGUCAUGCCAGAAGAAAACUGCUCCAGCAGCUCCAAGAAGUCCUGAUAGGGGAACCAACAGUAUGAAUUUGACCACCGUUUUCAUACCAAGACACUUUGACCACCAUUUCGCAUCACUUCGAAGGCAAAAAUUGUAGUACAUUUUGAUUUUAUCUGUUCCAGUCUUUGAUACAGUCCUCGUACAAGUAAAUGAGGCGUCAUGGAUGGAUGGUACUCAUAUUACAUGUUAACCCAUGGGUGUAUGCGUACCAAUCAUGAACCGACAAAAUAAACUAAACUUGCCAGAUCAAUUUAUCCUGACAUUGCCAUGAUCACAACAAAUCAUUAUCGGGAACUUAAAAAAUCUGCUAUAUAUAUAUAUACAUACACAGGAACUUCACAGAAAUGCCACUCAGUCAGGAGGCAAGUUCCUCUGAUUUAUGAUCCAGCUCAACUUUUGCAUGCACUAAUUCUUUAUGAAGAUUCCGGAUAAUAAAUCAUAUAAAACAUCGCAUGUACACAGUGAAUUAACUAACAAAUUUCAACCACUUCUUGCAUCUACAAGAGUAUUAAUUAAAUGCUGAUCAAGUGCCAACAUAUUCCGGGGUUAAUUUGCACUAGAAUAAUAAGGUCAAGCGUCCUAGAAAGGAGGAGGUCGUAGGAAGGGCGGGUCAACUGCUUGCUUUCGGGGGGACGUUACGUUGAUAAUUACAAUUGUCCAAUACAGUUUGCUUUCGAAGAACAAUCUGGCUUGCAAAUGUUUAAUUAAGCGAACUUCAUGGAUGUUGUUCUCUCCCAAAUGGGGAAACAAAAAAGAGAUGUUUAACUAAGUAUUCUUUUAACAUGACUUUUGAAUUACCAAUCACUUAAAUACGUUUCUGAAUUCCCAAUCACCAUUAAUGCUAAAGUAUAUUAUUCAAUAAAAGUUUUUUCAAAUAAUCUCCUAUCCAUUCCAUAAGAGGUCAAAAUAGAGCACAUGGGAUUUUAAGAAACUCUACUAAUGUUCAUAAGAUUCUAAAGUUUUUGAUCAAAUCAAAACGACUUUUUUUUUUCUUUGCAUCAGAAAUUUUUAAGAAUUAGUACGUAGUUAAACCCUAAUCCCAAAUCAACCUCAAAAGCCACGGUGGUAAAUCAAAAUGACUUGAGAGUCCAACUUCUACUCAACUUUGACACGCAUGUUUUUCAACCUUUGCAUUUAAUCAAAAACCGAACCACUCUAAAUGUGGUUAGGAAUGACGCUUUUGAGGUGCAUAGAUCAUUAGGCUUUUUAAGAUUCAUCGGACUUUUUUUUUUCUUUGGAAAAAAAACAACAAACAAAAAAAAGGUUAGGACCUGAAUAGGAGACAGAAUCGUUCAUCCCAGAUAAUAUAUUCCCUCUGGAAAUAAAGAUCCAAAAUCUGUGAAGUACACAUCUUUGCUUUUGUGCUUGCCUUUUGUGAAAAGACUCGAAGCGUUGAAUCAAUUCCAGCUACAAUUCUUAAAGUGAGGGAGGAAAGCAAGAUAGCGAUCGCAGAGUAAAACAUGCAGAUCCAUGCAUAUCCAUACAUAAAAAAGGCAAACAAACCCAUUAAUCUCUCCAUUUUCUUAUCUUAUCCCCAUUCCACUCAAGCUUUAUACCACAUUGUCCAGCAUCUUCAUGUUUAGCAAAAGUGUGUAUUAUGCGUCACUUUUGGUCCCCGCACGGCUGGGCUCCUCGUUUGACCUCUAUGCGAAUAGGACGCCCUGCAGCUCCGAAUCUCUUAGUACAUGUCCCUCUUUUGUAUUACUGGUUUGUACCUCGGGCUCAGGACAUAUAUAUAUAUAUAUAUAUAUAUAUACAUACAGCUUUUUACGAAAAAAAUUUGGGUGGUUAUUGCCCGUAAACAAUUCCGCUUGCUUUAUGAUUAUCAUUGUCAUCAACUGUACGUGGUCUCCAUGUUAUGUGGUGCUCAUGCUCCACUCUAAAUGUCACUAAACACUAGGCAUGUAUUAAUUUAAUACAGCGCAAAUUAAGACCGACUUAACUUGUAGUCUUGCAUCUAGUGUUUUGGACGUUACAUUUGUUACUUGCACCUCUUCCUUUGCAUCAUCUACGAAAACCCUCGCCAACUUUUGGAUGUUUGUUUGCUAACCCUGACGUUGGAGGGAAACUGCUAAUUCGGGGACCUUCAUUCCAAGAGAGGGGCAUUCUAAUUGACUAUCAGUUUUUUUAAAUAUUUUUUAAGGAGGGGAGGAGGGGGGGAAUUCGGAGGGGGGGGGGGAUGUUUCUAAUCGCUAAUGGCCACGACAGGAUGGUGUGCAGGUCUGACUGCAUAAGAUGGCCAUCAAAUGAAUCAUAAGACCAUGAAAUGAAGAAUAGAAUGCAGGUAUGGCUGCAAGUUAGGGGUUUAAAUUUUAAACUCCGGCAUAUUUAGUAAAAUCCAAAGGAUAUGCAGUAGUGCACCCUUUUAGUUUAGAGGUUGGAUCCUUUCCCUUUAGUUUAGAGGUUGACCCUGCCAAAGCGAAAUUUUUGGGUUCGGGUCAAGUUCGACUCAGCGAAUUUUCUGUUAUACUCGAAUAUCAACUUGACCCAUCAACCCGAUUUGGACCCGAUUGUCACCCCUAGCUGCAAGUUAGGGGUUUAAACUCCAGCAUAUUUAGUAAAAUCCAAAGGAUGUGCGGUAGUGCACCCUUUUAGUUAAGAUGUUGGAUCCUUUCCCUUUAGUUUCCCUUGCCUCGGUUGAGUCCUCUCCUAAAAUAAAUUAGAGCAAGAAUAGGAGUGGGAGUAAGAGUUGAUGAUUGAUAAAAAAUAAAUAAAAAUAAAAACCACAGAGUGUGCAGCGGAUCACGGGCCUUACAGUUUUCAUCUGAGACCAGUUUGAGGACAACUUGGUUCUUUUCUAAUUUUUUACAUCACUAUACUACCCAUUUAUACCUCGUAUAAAUUUAUUCACGUCCUGUCACGACUUAUUUAUACCUUAACGACAAAUUGAUUUGAACGGGAAUUUGUGAGGCCCUAGGUCCUUGUGCAGCAUUAUCAACCUGAAACCCCUGACGUUCCCAAGUUUAAAUAAAUCAAUGAUUCCUUUUUCUUGCUCAUUUUCGGCGUUACAGUUCUCUAUGAUUAGCUAGAGAGAAUAAGGUGUCUUUUUUGGGUCAACUAGGUGCGUUAGUUUUGAAUCCUCAAGAUAUGCCACUACGUUAGACUAAUAGCCAGCAUAUAUGACUGUUGCAAAUCUUCCUACUUGUUCACGACAAAAAUUUAAUAUCCCGCUUAAUUUAACUUUUGCCGGAUGACGAUGACGCUGGCAAAUCUUCCUAUUUCUUCGUGAGAAAAUAAUUGAUCCAAAACAAUUGACGAUCGAGCAUAAAUCCGCAGUAAUAAUGAUAAAAAAUUCAUACAAUAGACAAAGAAAUUUCACUCCAUUUAUAAAUAAAGCUGCGACUACUGUUUAACCAAUAGCCGUUGGGACUCUUGGCCAGGGGCUUUAUGUUCUGUCUGACAGACUAGAAUUCGAACUUGACUGUCAAAUUUGAAGAUAAGGAGGGAUUAGAGGCGGCAUUUUUGGCCAAGGCUUUAUGUCUUGCCUAGCAGACCAAAGUUCGAUUUUGACUGCUAGGUUUAGGGGCAGGGAGGGAGUAGAGGUGGGGGAGGCGAGGAUUAAAGAAAAAAAUUUCUACAGCUACUAUUUACAUGCAUGGCACAAAGAAGUUGGAGGCUACAAACUUAUAAGCAGUGAGCAAAUUACUUGGGUAGUUAUUGAAUUUUUUGAAUAGUUAAGAUUUGACCACUUAAUUAUUAACAAUACAUUUUCACCCUCUGAACUAUCAAACGUGUAAAUUUUGGACCAUUUCGCGUAAUAUUACCGUUAACUCUGCCAGAUUUAAAAGUCUACAUAAUUCACGAGAAAUACUGCUAAUAGUUAGAAUUGACAAAGUUAGCGGUAAAAUCAGAUGAAAUGGGUCAAAAUUCAUACUUUCAAUAGUUGAGUGGAUAAAAACAUACUAUUAUUAAUAAUGUAAUGGUUAAAAUUCUACUAUUCGAAAAGCUUAGUGUGGUUACUCUUAUUCGCGCAAUUUACUCUAUAAACGCUGUGCAGCUUUAAUAAUAAGGGCUGGCAGCAAAUUAUUACUACUACUGAGAUGAGAAUAAUCCCGCGUAGCUACACUAUCAAACCAAGUUUAUAAACCAAUAAACUUAUGACACGUGGCCUGAGGUGACUAAAAUAAACAAACACUCUAACGCAUGAGUUAAUUUUCUCACAGAAAACUCUUGAAUAUGCAUAUUCUACACAGGGAAGCGAUUAGCCUACAAAUUUACAAUAUCUUAUCCCGAGAGGACAAGUUUUGGACCAAAUUGUUUGCUUGGAUAGAGGGUCUAGUUCUGCCGCCGGCUCAUCACCCUUGGAUACAUGCCGAGCGAGCGAUCAUAGAUGACUCUCCUACGCAAGGAUAUCGAGACAUUCUGCAAAUGCUACAAACUUCUCCUCAAUUAUAUAGUUGACAGUUUAUCAAACAAGAUCUUCUUUUCUUUUCUUUUUUUUCCCUUUUUGGGUCGAGUUGUCUUCAUUAAGAUUAAUCUCCAAGGCUUUGUACUUGGUUAAUCAUGAUGAUAUGAUAUUCACCCAUUAGCUUCUUUUCGAUGUUAACAAAAGUUUUGCACGCCGACUGCAUUAGAUUCCCCUUUAUGGUUUUACAUUUAUCUCCAGAAUGGUUGGCGUUCAUUAAUUUAACUAAAGCAUGAUUACCAAGCAUUAUUUUACUUCUUGUCCCCAAGGGAAGAGAAGCAAAACAAAAAGGCAAGACCGGCGAUAAAGAUAAUAUUCUCUGCGCUGCUGUUCUUGAUCUAGGAUAACCCAAAUUCCAGAAAUAUUCGUGCUGUCUAUAUCUAGUGCAACAAUGGCUGAGCAGGAAUAUAUGUGACGCAAAUUUAAUCUUGUGUACGCACUAGAGCUGGCUACGACCGCAGCCUAGAGCCCGACAACUCGUCUGUGCUUCGACAAUUCCUUGCUAGGCUUGAUACCCUCAAAUCAAAAUCUAGAAUUUACAGUCACCAUAUAGGAUGGUCCAUCUAGUAGCGGCAGGUCACUCGCUUUUGCAUCCCACAGCUUAUUGGCUACAAAUUCGCAACGCAUGCACAUUCAUCUUGAUUCAAUUGAUAAUAACAUACAUUUCCUCGUAUGUGAAAGAGUGUGCAUUCAAAUUCGUGGUCGAUGAUAUAAGAACUGCGUUUGUGGACGAUUUAUAAGAAUUUUUAUAAGCAACUUAUGAUUUCAUUCGGAAGCAGAUCUUGAUUAAUGAUAGUGUUCGACGCGUCCAAAAUUUUUAUUUUUUUUUUAAAAAAAAUUCAUUAAUACGGGCAAUGUAUAUGUCGUACUUACUGGAUCAUAAGGAUGGUUCGAAUUUCAAAGCAUGACAUACGAAAUUUUCAUAGGAUCCGGAGAGUUUGAAAACAAGCACAGUCAAAUUCCCCAAAUUUCAUGACGGGACUGACAUAACAAUAAUGAACUGCAACCGUUUUAAUCUCUUGCUUUCCAGAAGGCGACGCCCAAGUGCAACGAUUUGUGAUUCAAAGAAUAAUAAUAAUAACUGGUUACCAAGGGCCUCAAAUUCUUGGGUACUUGAUUAACAAGGCCAAAAAUUUCCGGGGUCACAGCAACAACUUUCAAAAGGCGAAUCCAUUUUCUGAUACUCGUUAGGUAUUAUCACAAAUAAAGUGGUAGUAGUACAAAUUUUUUCUUUAGAUUUCUUACGACCCAUUGGGCAAUAGAAUUUUGACAACAGAUGGAAGUUUCCUAAAGUGACAAACAGGAAAAAGGAAAAAACAAAAACAGAUAAGAUUGGAUGGGGCAAGAGGUCCAUUACAAAGGUGAAGCGAUCGAGCAUGCUUUUCAAACUAGCACAUUAUUUUCUGGCCGAGAAAAUCUGUUGUUUUCGGAAAGUAUUUGUACAAUAACGACCUCGCGGACUCACGCCAAAAAAAAAAAAAAA
rnacentral:lncRNA from 1 species